UUGUAAGACUGCUCACUGUUGUUAAAACGAGGUUCACUAAGUAUGGCUGCCGAGAGUUGGGAAUCAGAGAGGAAAGACUCUAUUCGAGAAUUAUGGAAUAUGUUUAUAUUUGUUUAAUAAAACGUCUAAUAAUUCGUGAUGAUGUGUAGAGAAAGAAUUCUAUGGUAAAAGAGUCCUUAUUUUUGAAUGAUAUUCAUAUUCUAACACCAUGAAUUUUGAUGAGAAAAAUCUUAAGUUGAAGGCCUUGGCGAUUACAUUUUUGAUGGAAGAGUAGUGAGCUAACGGGACAACUGCUCAUUUAUUGGCCAUCAUAAAUCUUCAGUAGUUGCAAUCAUGUCAUCCACCCCCUCGUCCACCAGCUGUGAAAAAGGAGAUAGGGAAUGGUACUCCUUUCUGGCAUCCAGUCUGGUCACUUUCGGUAGCGGCUUUGUGGUCAUUCUCAUCUACAGGAUAGUAGUUUGGUUGUGCUGUCGGAAAAAAAAAUGCCUGCAAGUGUCAGGCUCAUUAGGAACAAAGACUUCCACAGAGCAGAAACAUUUUCUGAAGACUUCAGAUCCAGAAAUCGGGUGGAUGACAGAGGCAAAAGAUUGGGCAGGAGAGCUUAUAUCUGGACAGACUACCACUGGGCGAAUACUUGUUGGACUUGUUUUUUUGCUGAGCAUUGCAUCAUUAAUCAUUUAUUUUAUUGAUGCUUCAACAAACACAUCAGUUGAAACCUGUCUCCCCUGGUCUUCCAGUACUACACAACAAGUAGAUUUGGCAUUCAAUGUAUUCUUUAUGAUUUAUUUUUUUAUCAGGUUUGUAGCAGCCAACGACAAACUGUGGUUCUGGGUGGAAAUGUUCUCAUUUGUUGAUUAUUUUACUAUUCCCCCUUCCUUUGUGGCAAUAUAUUUGGACAGGAAUUGGUUAGGCCUUAGGUUCUUGCGAGCACUCCGGUUAAUGUCCAUCCCAGAUAUUUUAACUUAUUUGAAUGUUCUUAAAACCAGCACAUUGAUCCGACUGGUUCAACUUGUUGUUUCUUUUGUCUCGUUAUGGCUGACAGCAGCAGGCUUUUUACAUUUGCUGGAAAACUCUGGUGAUCCAUUUUUUAACUUUAGCAACUUCCAAAGACUGACAUACUGGGAAUGUCUUUAUUUUUUACUGGUCACCAUGUCAACAGUUGGGUUUGGUGAUAUAUAUGCCACCACUGUAUUGGGCAGGACAUUUGUUGUCAUCUUCAUUAUGAUUUUCAUUGGUUUGUUUGCAAGCUUUAUUCCUGAAAUAGCAGAAAUAUUAGGAAAACGCCAAAAAUAUGGGGGCUCAUACAAAAAAGAAAGAGGGAAAAGACAUGUGGUGGUUUGUGGUUACAUUACUUAUGACUCUGUCUCCAACUUUCUCAAAGAUUUUCUUCACAAGGACAGGGAAGAUGUGGAUGUUGAGAUUGUCUUUUUACACAAAGGUUUACCAGGUCUUGAGUUAGAGGGAUUAUUAAAACGUCAUUUCACUCAAGUGGAAUAUUUCUGGGGCUCAGUUAUGGAUGCCAAUGAUUUGGAGAGAGUUAAGAUCAAGCAAGCUGAUGCAUGUUUAGUGUUGGCUAAUAAGUAUUGCCUGGAUCCUGAUCAGGAGGAUGCAGCCAAUAUUAUGAGAGUAAUUUCCAUCAAGAAUUAUCAUUCUGACAUUAAGGUCAUUGUACAACUUCUACAGUAUCAUAACAAGGCCUAUCUUUUAAAUAUUCCAAGCUGGGACUGGAAGAGAGGAGAUGAUGCUGUGUGUGUUGCUGAACUGAAGCUUGGGUUUAUUGCACAAAGUUGUUUGGCACCAGGAUUCUCUACACUCAUGGCUAAUCUUUUUACUAUGCGAUCUUACAAGCCAACUCCUGAGAUGGCCCAGUGGCAAACAGACUAUAUGCGAGGCACUGGUAUGGAGAUGUAUACAGAAUAUUUAUCAAGUGCUUUUAAUACUCUAACAUUUCCAGAAGCAGCAGAGCUGUGCUUUACAAAAUUAAAGUUAUUACUACUAGCAAUAGAAGUACGACAGGAAGAUACUAGGGAAAGCACAUUAGCUAUAAAUCCUGGACCAAAAGUCAGAAUAGAGAAUGCUACUCAAGGAUUUUUCAUAGCAGAGUCUGCUGAAGAAGUUAAAAGAGCUUUUUACUACUGCAGAAACUGUCAUGGAGAAGUAACAGAUGUGCGGCAAAUAAAAAAGUGCAAAUGCAGACCUCUGGCAAUGUUCAAGAAAGGAGCAGCUGCAGUGUUAGCUCUGCAACGUACACCUGGCCUGCCCUCAGAUAUUGAUGGAAACAAAGCUGAAGAGGACAUUGAACUGGAAACCAAAGAAAGUCAAAAGCAGUCCAAUGAAGUGGCUAAGGAGCCCCCUAAAAACCCUGGAACAUUUGCUUCUAGUGGAGAAAGUCAGGCAAGCAUAGGUCUUGACCGGCAUCGGAGGCAGAAAGAAAAGAAUGCCCUUUUGUUAAAAAAAAACAAGGCAAACGACAGUAUAGUGGUUGUGGAUGCUCCACUGAAGUCUCGCCUGACCAUCAGCAGUCCAGCCCCACUCAUCUGGCAGAUUGCCCAGAAGGCAAGGGAGCCUACACCAACUAUUAAGAACAAAGAAAAUGAUGAGGGAAAUCUUAUAUCAAAUAUGGAUGAACCUCGCAAGUUUGAUUCAACAGGGAUGUUUCAUUGGUGUCCAGACAGGCCUCUAAAUGACACUCUCCUGGAUCGUAGUCAAGCCUCUUCCAGUGGACUACGCAACCAUGUUGUAGUUUGCCUGUUUGCUGAUGCUGCCUCACCAUUGAUAGGUUUGAGGAACUUGGUCAUGCCACUCAGAGCCAGUAAUUUUCACUAUCAUGAACUCAAGCAUGUGAUCAUUGUAGGCAAUCUGGAAUACUUACAUAGAGAAUGGAAGACUUUGCAGAACUUUCCUAAACUUUCCAUCCUUCCAGGAUCCCCUUUAAACCGUGCCAAUCUGCGUGCUGUGAAUAUUAACUUGUGUGACAUGUGUGUGAUUGUGUCUGCUAAAGAUCGAAACAUGGAAGAUCCCAAUCUUGUAGACAAAGAGGCUAUUUUGUGCUCACUAAACAUUAAAGCAAUGACAUUUGAUGACACUGUUGGCCUAAUACAGUCUUCUGUCUCCACCAAAGGUCUUAUUCCUGGAGGAUUCAGUGCCUUGUUGGAGCAGAAGAGAGCCCAGGCUGGGGCCAAUGUUCCACUUAUCACUGAACUAGCUAAUGACUCCAAUGUACAGUUUCUUGAUCAAGAUGACGAUGAUGAUCCAGACACAGAGCUAUAUAUGACUCAGCCAUUUGCUUGUGGCACAGCAUUUGCUGUGAGUGUGUUGGAUUCUCUAAUGAGCACAAGUUAUUUUAAUGACAAUGCUCUCACCCUGAUCAGAACCCUAAUCACAGGGGGAGCUACUCCUGAACUUGAGCAGAUAUUAGCAGAAGGUGCAGGAAUGCGGGGUGGGUACUGUUCUCCAGCAGUUCUAGCCAACAGAGACAGAUGUAGAGUGGCUCAAAUAUCGUUAUUUGAAGGUGCUCUUUCUCAAUAUGGGCAAGGAGGAAAAUAUGGUGAAUUAUUUGUUUAUGCUUUACACAACUUUGGAAUUCUAUGCAUCGGCUUGUACCGAUUUAGGGACACCAAUGAGUCGGUGCGCAGCCCUUCUUCCAAACGCUACGUCAUCACUAACCCACCAGAAGACUUCUUACUGCUCCCCACAGAUAUGGUCUAUGUCCUGACCUACAAACCAAUAACAAAUCUCUAGGUGCUGCACACAGGGGAGACUCAUCUGGAUGUGCUAAGAGUUGGUUGGAAGCAUUCUGUCUACAGCCCUUUUAUUACAAUGACAUCGUGAGAAAGAUGAAACGUCGUCCCAAAGCUGGAGGAGCACAGCGGGGUGACCACAGUGAGACUGACACAUAGCAUUGUAAUGUAACUCAUAGACUUGAUUUCUUUGUCAUUACACUCAUGGUUAUUCCCCCUGGCUGCCAAAGGUACUAAGUUGGUAUUUAAUCACUUCAAGUUAUUGGCUAAAAAAAAAUAGUUUCAGCUCCCCUAUAUUGACAUAUAAAACGUAUGUGGAUUUUUUUUUGAACAUUGAUAUAGAAAACAAAUUUAAAAAGACAAACAUUGUAGGAGUCAGUUUUUCAACAAAAUAAAGUGUUCGUUUUUGUAUGCAUGAUUAAAUUGGAACAAAAAAUAACAAAUAUACAUUUAUGACUUCUGUCAGCUCUGAACUUGCGUGACUAACUUAUUGAUUCCUUUAAAAUAAUUAGGUGAACAAUUUAUAGUUGAAAAGAAGACAAAAAAUCUUUAAAAAAAAGUGUUUGGUGGAACAGCUUUUAUCGCAGACUAGCUUUUAAGUUGUAGAUCAACUUUUGCAUCUUUUAUUUUAUCCAGACACCAUAAUUAUAAAUAUAUUGAUACAUAAAUAUAUAUAUAAUGGUGUUCUCAUGAAAAAAAGUUUACCUUUGGUAGCCCAAUACAAUGUGAGUUUUCCUGCAAUACAUUGUGUUAAUUGGGUAGAGUUGUCCAUGAUGAAACCAGUAUUUUUAAAUAUAUAUAAAUGUGUUUUUUUAUUGAUUUUUAUUGUGUUUUUCUUAAUGGCAGACUUUGUAAACUAGGGUGUUCCUAGCAUUAUUUUCAUGAGCUUUGUUUAGUGCUCUGGUGUCAAGGGGUGAGCUGGACUUGUGAUUGUAAAUAGUUGCUGAUUUCUGUGUAUAGUUUACAAGCUGUAGUUCACUGUUAGAUCCUGAAUGACUGUCUCAGAGUUACAUGGUUCACAGGGUGUUAUCACAUGUAUGUAUGUAUUUUGAAGUUUUUUUUGUUUUUUUUUUUGUGUAUGUU